GGUAUGUGAUCCUUCAAACACGCAUCCCCCAAACAGAUGGUUGGUGCAGAGUUGGGUGAGGGACAGUCCUCAAAAGACCCAGCAUCCCUGGGAAGACUGCCUUGGGAAACCCCCACAUCAGUUGCCUUGACAUGACUGGAAGAAAUGGAACAGAGGUGUCGAUGGGCUUCCUUGUUUGUGGUAUUCAUGGAAAACAACAUUGCUUCACUUGUCUGCUGGAGCAGGACUGCACAGAGUAGCUCUCAGCAUGACAUGGAAGGAGAUAAAUC